UUAACUUCCGUGCUGUCUUGCUUCAGACAAGACGGCUCUGAGAGAUUGAGUUAAGCAGCUUCAGUUAUUUACUUCUAAAGUAGUCAAGCCAGAUAAUAAACUCAUCCUCCUUUCUCUCUCUCCAGAUCCAGUGCACAUCCAGAGCAUUUAUCACUUUCUCCCAGUUGAGAUCAAAGUGACUCCUCAAUCUUCUCAGUGACUUUCAGGAUGUCAGCAAUGGCCCCGUGAGGCAGGUGCAUCCAUCAGUGAGCAGCACUGCUCUUUAGCCUGCCAGGGAAUCCAGGUCCCCACUGGAGACAAAAUGAGGAAAAGGAAGAACAGAUGGAACUAAAAGCAGAAGGUACCUGAUGAAAGAAAAACAGCAAGGCUGGUGAAGGGUGUUUAGAGAAGGACUGGGAGAACAAAAGAAAGAAUUCUGAAAUAUUCUACACUUCUCUUAUAUUCUAAGACUGCUUCAUAACACUACCAAACACAGCUUUGCAGUUUGGAAGAGUGAGAGAAUCAAACCCAAAGCCGCAAACAUCCAAAUGUGGUGCUCCUUCACACGAAACUAAUAAUGAACUUGAGACAGUCUGCAGGGAUAAGUAUCAGAGGUCAAAUCUAAAUUACAUACGGUCUAUGUUCAAACAGGAGCCUGGACACACCUGAGAUAAAGAAUGAGUCCAGAGUGGGGCACAUUGGCUAAGGCAAGAGGAUUGUUUGAGGCCAGGAGUCUGAGGCUGCAGUGAGCUAUCAUCACACCACUGCUGACCAGCCUGAGGACAUAGCCAGACCUUGUCUCUUAAAAAAGAAAAAAGAAUGAGUCCAGUGUUAGAGAUACAGGAUAAAAAGAAGUUAACUGAACUCACAGGGAGAGAGGAGGGGAACUACUCCAAAUUCUAGUCAGUUCUUACCUGAAUAUGGGCUGGCUCAGCUCCCAAGUGGCUGAGUGAGGUCAUAGACUGAGAAGAAAGUACCCCAGGCCAAAGUUGUGAGUCAAAUGACUCAGGUUGAGAAGCUUUCAUACCUAAGAAUCAACUGGCCAGUGGUGUACUGUGAGAGAAUUGAUCAGCAAGCUGUUUUCUUCUCAUUCAGGUCACAAACCUAGAUUACCUACACCAGUCUUCCUUGCAGUUAGAUCUGGCUAUGAGGUUGAGUUUCAGCCAGUGAGAUAAAGGCAGAAGUGUCUACUGGCCAACCCAUAAAUUCCUCCCCAGAAGUCUUCCCAUUUUUUUUCACUGGGCUGACUGGAGUGCAGUCAGUCCCCAGGGCAGUCUUAAAUGCCACAUAUUGAAGAUGGAAAAGCCAUGUGAAGAGCCUGAAACACUGCUUGGAAGAAAGUCAUCCAGGAGCUACCUGACUGAGAGAUCCUGCAUCUGACUAUUACGUUAGCAAAAAACAAACUUGAUUUGCAUUAAGCCCUGAUACUUGGGGCCUUGGAUGCUAUGUUAGCCAGAUAACAAAAAUUGUCACCAAAUUUGUUAUAUUAUUUAAAAUAUAUAGCACUGGCUUUAUCAAGUAGUGCAGCAAGGAACCUGACAGUGGAAUCCGAGAAGAUGGAAAUCCAUGCUCUGUAGUGACAAAAAUCCAAAAGUGGCACUGGAAGGCAUUUUAGAAAUCAUCUAAGUCAACCACCAUGAGGCUGGUCUGAAGUCAGAACAAUAAUACGACCACUAUUUUAACUCCUUUCCUAACUUCCCCAUUCACAACGGCCAGAUUCCUCUUUCUUAUCUAUACUCAUGCCCACUUCAAUUGUCUAAUUAAACUGCUUAUCCCACCUGAUGCCACCAUCAUCGCCUUUUCUCAUUUGAAUUCUAUUCUUCCUCAAGGUCAAAUCAAGCCUGACUUCUCCACAACACCUCCAAGAUUGCAUUACCACAUGGCAGUCCUACCUGCCUCUAAACGUACUCUUUAGACCACGUAUUUGGGCCUUUUUUAAUACACUGAGAUCUGAUUUUUUUCCAGUGGAUUCUCUGGUAAAGCUGUAAACUUUGUUAGCGAGGGACCCCAAAUCACAUAUUAAUCAACUUUCUCACUCCCAGCACCUUGCAGAGCAUUCGAAGUGCACAGUGGGUCUCAGUAAAUGCUGAAAAUGAAUUGCAUUUCACUUACCCUAAAUUUUACAAUAAACCAGUAGUAAGCUGAAAUGAUUGAUGAAGAAUAGAUGCUAAAUAUCACGCAGUGGGAAUGGCAGAUAGAUGUGUUUUGAACACCAGCACCAAGGAAGUGGUGCUGUGGCUGCCGGGAGCACCAUGGCUGUGAUGCUGAUGAAGAAGACUGGCCACACCCAAGCUCCACAGGCAAGAGUUUUGCAAUCUAUCAGCAGUUUCUGCAUGGACAUUGGUAUGAGAGCGGCAGCAUGAAGUUCUAGCAUUUGCAGCAGGCUUAUAGGUGGCUAGAACACUCAAGGCUUCCAGAGUCAACUACCUACUUAGCAGUACCACUUGCAUGUCACCUUGGCAUCUCGUGCUUAUUUUACCUAAUAGUACACUCUUAAUCUUAUGACCCCAUGUCUUCUCUUCUCCCAGGCUUCUUUAUCUCAGCAAAUGUCACUAGCACAUAUCCAGUCAUUCAAGAAAAAGCACAAUGGGGAAAACUAUUCCCCUUACAUCGCUCUCUCCCAGCAUCCUGCCAAAUCUGGCUCCAAAUAGAGCUUGUUUGUCCACUUCGCUCCCUCUUCCCCAGUAUAUUUCCUUGGUUUACUCCAUCGCCAUCUCUCAAUUAGACUAUCGAAAUAAAAUCCUACCUGGAAUUUAAACCCCUAAAUGUUUCUUUGUUCAUAUUCUUAUCCUCCA